AGCUUUGCGCAGCGGCGAUAUCGUAACCAAUGAGGUACAACCGAGGUGCGAUUAUUGCUAGUUGAAAACUACAUUUCUUUACGCGUACUGUCAUGUUAUUUCUGUAACACUACCUGUAAGACCUUCUAAAUAUUUAUAUAG